rnacentral:ncRNA from 2 species
AAAUGAAUAGGUGAUGGUGUUCGCCUUUAAAUGUCGAUCGAUAGAUGACUAAUGACGCCUACUAAAAA